AGAAAGUUUGAUUCUUGCUUAGGUUUCUAUUUUAUAAUUAAAGAUUACAUGCGAGUUUUGACAAAAGUUAUGGAGUUAAAUAUUUUGUAAUUUUUAAGGUGAAUUUAAGUGCCAGCAUGCAGUAAAAAAUAUUAAAUAUUGAGUUUCAGCUUGAUUUGGUGAAUUAUAAAAAAUCUGAUUAAAUUUUGUGCCAGCAAUCGCGGUUAGACUAAAAGGUUAAGUAGAAAUUUGUCAGUUAGAGUUAUUUUGGGUUGAGGUUUAUUUAAAUCUGAAAAAAUAAAAGGUAAAAUUAAUUUAUUACAAGGUAGAUUGAAAUAAAUUUUUAAAAAUAAAAGAAGCUCAUAAGGUUGAGGUAUAAACUAGGAUUAGAGACCCUACUAUACUCAGAUGGAAAUUGUAAAACUGGAAUAUUAAUAGAUAGACUCUUUAAAUUUAAAGAAUUUGGCGGUAUUUUAGUCUAGUUAGAGGAACCUGUUUUAUAAAUUGAUACAACACGUAAUAUCUUACUAAUUUUAUUAAAAGUUUGUAUACCGUCAUUAUUAGAUAAUUUUUAUAGAAUAAAUUAUUGAAACUAAAAGAUUAAAUAUAUUAGAUCAAGGUGCAGCCUAUAAGUUAGGGAGAAUGGGUUACAAUAAAAUUUAUUUAAACGGAUUGACGGAUGAAAAUAGUCAUGAAGGUGGAUUUAAUUGUAAUAGAAGUUUAAUAAGUUUUUAUGGUAUAAGCACUAAAUUAUGUACAUAUUGCCCGUCGCUUCCAUUUAAAGUGGAAUAAGUCGUAACAUAGUAGGUGUAUUGGAAAAUGUACCUAGAAGUAG
rnacentral:ncRNA from 1 species